rnacentral:rRNA from 1 species
UGAACGCUGGCGGUAGGCUUAACACAUGCAAGUCGUGCGAGAAAGUAUCUUCGGAUAUGAGUAGAGCGGCGGACGGGUGAGUAACGCGUAGGAAUCUACCUAGUAGAAGGGGAUAGCCCGAGGAAACUCGGAUUAAUACCGUAUACCUCCUUCGGGAGAAAGAAGGCCUCUCUUUGAAGCUUUCGCUACUAGAUGAGCCUGCGUAAGAUUAGCUUGUUGGUGAGGUAAAGGCUCACCAAGGCUACGAUCUUUAGCGGGUCUGAGAGGACGAUCCGCCACAUUGGGACUGAGACACGGCCCAGACUCCUACGGGAGGCAGCAGUGGGGAAUAUUGGACAAUGGGCGAAAGCCUGAUCCAGCCAUACCGCGUGUGUGAAGAAGGCCCUAGGGUUGUAAAGCACUUUAAGUUGGGAAGAAAAGUUAUUGGUUAAUACCCAAUGACCGUGACAUUACCAUCAGAAUAAGGACCGGCUAAUUCCGUGCCAGCAGCCGCGGUAAUACGGAAGGUCCAAGCGUUAAUCGGAAUUACUGGGCGUAAAGCGCGCGUAGGUGGUUUAUUAAGUUGGGUGUGAAAUCCCCGGGCUCAACCUGGGAACUGCAUCCAAAACUGAUUCACUAGAGUACGAUAGAGGGAGGUAGAAUUCACAGUGUAGCGGUGGAAUGCGUAGAUAUUGUGAAGAAUACCAAUGGCGAAGGCAGCCUCCUGGAUCUGUACUGACACUGAGGUGCGAAAGCGUGGGUAGCGAACAGGAUUAGAUACCC